rnacentral:rRNA from 1 species
AGCGAACGCUGGCGGCAGGCCUAACACAUGCAAGUCGAACGAACCUUUCGGGGUUAGUGGCGGACGGGUGAGUAACACGUGGGAACGUGCCUUUAGGUUCGGAAUAACUCAGGGAAACUUGUGCUAAUACCGCAUGUGCCCUUCGGGGGAAAGAUUAAUCGCCUUUAGAUCGGCCCGCGUCUGAUUAGCUAGUUGGUUGAGGUAAUGGCUCACCACGGCGACGAGCAGUAGCUGGUCUGAGAGGAUGAUCAGCCACAUUGGGACUGAGACACGGCCCAAACUCCUACGGGAGGCAGCAGUGGGGAAUCUUGCGCAAUGGGCGAAAGCCUGACGCAGCCAUGCCGCGUGAAUGAUGAAGGUCUUAGGAUUGUAAAAUUCUUUCACCGGGGACGAUAAUGACGGUACCCGGAGAAGAAGCCCCGGCUAACUUCGUG